rnacentral:misc_RNA from 1 species
AAGUCGUAACAAGGUUUCCGUAGGUGAACCUGCGGAAGGAUCAUUAACAAAUCAACUGGCGCGUCGCAAGACGCGUCAAAACAUCCUAACCUGUGAAUCGCAGGCAGCUUGCUGUCUGUUGUGCGAGCAAUCGCACAAACAUACACGUCGUCUAACACAAUGUCUGAAUACAAAACAAAACAAAUACAACUUUUAGCAAUGGAUCUCUUGGCUUCUGUAACGAUGAAGA